rfam:Taeniopygia guttata chromosome 2, whole genome shotgun sequence.
GGGGAAUUUGCUCAAAUGGGAGAGCGCUCGCUUAGCAUGCAAGAGGCAGCAGGAUCAACACCUGCGUUCUCCA